GUUAGGCUCUGCUACAUAAGCAGUUGGGUUCAUGCCCCAAAAACGGUAUUUAUACCUCCUAACA
rnacentral:tRNA from 2 species